ensembl:antisense Gm21284 predicted gene, 21284
GUAACCUGGCAGGAAGACAUCAAGUGAAAACCAGUCUGAGCCCCACUGGGCUAGCACUUCUCAGCAGCCACCCGCCUGUCAUUUCACAGGCUCAGAAUCAGGGUCUGCAAUGCAGGUGCCAUGGCGGACACUGAAGAAGCAGGGCUCAUCACCAUAUCCAGAUGCGUUGAAAAUGAACUCCAGCCACCAGAAGCAAACAGCAGAGAGGCAGAAGCAGCCUAAUGCAAGCCUUCCUCCUCCUGGGUUGAAUUCUGCCCAUACUCUGUCUGAUGCCUUCAUCCCUUAGGCCGUGUGGGCAUCCCACUGUUCAGAGUUUUCAUGCUUGAGCCGGGCAAUUUGAUGUUCUUUCCAUAGCAAGAGAGCCCAGAAAUGGUCAUGAAAUCUACAUACCAAAGAGGGAAUCUUAAACAUGUUUCCUCAUGUUAUGUCUCCCAUUAGCAUGCAUAUAGAUGGGUGCACAGAAUAUGUGGCAGCUGAGUGCCCAGCCCUGCAAGAGCAUCUGUGUCAAGAGUGCAUUGCUCCAGGAGCUCUGGUCUGCAAAAGACAGUCCAGAGAAUGAGAAUGUGGGCACCAGGAGGAGGAAAGGGCCAGGGGGACCCAGCACCUGCAGCUCUCUCUGUGCAGGAUGGCGGUAAGCACACUGCCGGGAGAAGACAGUCAUCAGCGCUCUGCGGCAGUCCAUUCUGUAUGCUGCAAUGCCCACCUGCUGGAGACGGUAUGCCCAUGAAUGCAAUCAUGGCCUGAGAGCUAGGACGCCCUGAAAAGGACAUAGUACCAGUACCACCAGAUACCAUCCUCUCAACAGCCCUGAAAAGGACAUAGUACCAGUACCACCAGAUACCAGGCGCAACCUGCAAACCAGUAAUGAUGUACGCAAUGCAACAGAAAAGAAUAAAUCACAGGAGAAAGCUGCACGGGUGAGCACUUCCUGAGAUCUGAAUUCGGUGUCUGGGAUCUCUCUGAAUCUAGAAAUAAGUCACCUGGUUGUGGCUUACACCUGUCAGAUCCCAAGAAAAGCAGCCAGUUCUGAGAGUUUCAGGUCUCGAAACAAGAACAUUCAGGAGCACUCUGUAGGGAAGGAACUGUGUUCCCCUGAAGAUCAUCAGAAGUAUUCGAGGUACGUGCAAACACUUGAAAGUGCGCAUGUGCGAGCUCUUGGGCGUGCACGCAGGCAAGUGCUGCUCCAUAGAGGAAAAGUGCAGUGACAAUGAACUCCCCUGGCUGUGCAAAUGUUUCAUGUGUACAGCUUUUAGGUGUGAUCUCUAUAGCAUGUUCACAUAUGACCUAUGACAGCUGACUCUUGCCAUCCACAAUCAAGCGGAACUGCAAGUUUGAAGAAUCACGUUUAAUAACAAAGUUUACAAAUGUUUUUAAAGCCCUCAGCACUGGAACACGCACACUCACGUGUGCUCAGAGACCGAAGAGAUUGAAUGGCUUGACUCUGCGGAGAGAAAGACUUGGCUGCCGAGCUUCUAAGAGGCAGAGGAGAGGCCCCGCUGUCGGGGAGGUCAUAUUUGCUUACAUGGAUUUAGCCUAUGGUGAGCAGCCCCCGUUCCUCCUGAAUGUAGAAAAGCUCUCCCCAGUCUCCGUGGGACAAUAAUCGGGGCCUCUGUUUUGCUCUGGGAUAAUCACAUAUAUUAUGAUUACACUUCUCUCACCUGCCAAGAGAAAACUUGUCACAGUUGCCUGGGGCUCUCAAUCCCACUCUGUCAUAGCACACCUCAAUGAAGCCCCACCUGCCUCAGUGGAUGAUUCUCGUCCUUGUUGGGAGUGACCAAUGAGUCCAAGCUCUCUCUCCAGUGGUCUUGACUUCCUCAUUUCUGAUUGGACACACUGCUCCGCUCCCUUUAUCCCAGAGUCUCUUCCGUCUCUGCCAAGGACUGCACACUGUGUGGAUGUGUAUGAAGCCCUUAGAUGAUGUACUCCAGCUCCUCUGCCAAGGAGGAGCUCAGAACAGGACGCAAAGGGAACUGAAUCCUCCUCCACUUAGAAUUAGUCAACGAGCCCGCCUUCCUCCUCGUGCCUGCCUGUCUGCCUUCUUUUCCUGUGAGACGUGUCUCACUCUCUAUCCAAGGCUGGCCAUGAACUUGUAGGAAGCCUCUGUUUGCAAAUGGCUGGGAUUACCGGCAUCCNUUACCAGUGUCCCACACAAGACUCUGCGUGUUUCUACCCCUCUCUGAGUUGUCCUUCAGGCAAAUGGAGGACCUGUGUCCAUUCACAGGGAACAGGACUUUAAUGGUCGGAACUGCAAUGGACAACCGAGCCCUGUGUCACUAAAUAAGAGCAGGCAGCCUGGGAUGGAAAUGCUAAGUCCUUGGGAUUCCCUGCAUGAGCUCCUCUUUGCCAUAAUGACCCGAAGUGGGCUGAAAAUUUCUUCUCCGAGUCAGGCCAAGGCUGAUGGGGAGCUGUAACUGUGGACUUUGCAUCAGCCUGAGUGGAUGAAGCAAUAUUUUUGGAUUUGACUGUGAAGUGAUUCUAAAGGAACUUAUGUGCGGGUUCACGGACUCAGUGGCAAUGUGAAGCCAUCAGAGCUUCACUGGAAGAAGCAGUGUGGGAGCAGACACUCCCGCUGCGUCUCCCCCGAGAUAGACGCUUUCUUUAUCUUUUUUUUUUUAAAGGAAAUCAAAGUUUAAUCAUUUUCUACUCAUUAAUUAAUGGCCAUGCUGACCAAUAAGUCACAUGAAUGUCGAUUUCACUUUAUUUGAAUACCACACACAAUACAAAUUUAAACUUGCCAUACCCUUCCACAAACCAUCACUGCAUAUAAUAGAGCUUUUUUUUUUGACAAAGUUAUUGAGCUAUUAUUAUAGAUCAAAAGCACAGUUUUGGUUUGUUUGUUUGUUUAAUUUAGAAGCAUGUUCAAAUGACUAAAGCUGGGAUCCUAAAAUUGAGAGCUUUGGCGCAGCAGGUGAGCUGUGGUUACUGACGUCCGCAAAUCAAAAGCACACAAGUAAAACCCAAUAAAAACCCCAAAACAAAAUACCGUCAAACUUUGACAGUUGAGAAAUAAUUGCUAGAAAAAGGAUUUGUCAUCACAAUGUUAAAACUGAAUAAACAGAUUACUCAUGGU